GACGAACGCUGGCGGCGUGCUUAACACAUGCAAGUCGAACGGAAAGGCCCUGCUUUUGUGGGGUGCUCGAGUGGCGAACGGGUGAGUAACACGUGAGUAACCUGCCCUUGACUUUGGGAUAACUUCAGGAAACUGGGGCUAAUACCGGAUAGGAGCUCCUGCUGCAUGGUGGGGGUUGGAAAGUUUCGGCGGUUGGGGAUGGAUUCGCGGCUUAUCAGCUUGUUGGUGGGGUAGUGGCUUACCAAGGCUUUGACGGGUAGCCGGCCUGAGAGGGUGACCGGCCACAUUGGGACGGAGAUGCGGCCCAGACUCCUACGGGAGGCAGCAGUGGGGAAUAGUGCACAAUGGGCGGAAGCCUGAUGCAGCAACGCCGCGUGCGGGGUGACGGCCUUCGGGUUGUGAACCGCUUUCGCCUGUGACGAGGCGUGAGUGACGGUAAUGGGUAAAGAAGCACCGGCUAACUACGUG
rnacentral:rRNA from 1 species